AAAAUAAAUAAGCUUAAAAAAAAAAAAAAGAAACAAAUGUCACAGCUGGGAUUUGAACUCACACCUUGGUGUUUCUCAAGCCAGGCAUGUUCUUUCUAGCACACCCAGUUAUGCCAUGGGGUGGACUAAAACUUAAGAGCACUCUCUGUUUAGUCAACAAACAUUCGCUGGGGCUUUGGCUCAUGGAAUGCAUGGUGCUGGGCACAGGAGAAACACAGAUGAGUCUGACCUGGGUCCUUCUCUGAAGGACCACACAGUCCAACAGGGAGAUGGACUGGGCCACGUAAAGGAUUCUAGACAAGAUCCAAAGAAUGCGGGGCCGUAAAUGGUGCCUUUGUUAGCUGACUCCCCUCCCAUUCCAGCAGCUGGUUUGGGAUGGCCUCCGCCCCAGAAAGUUCCGAGGCACCCGGUACCCCGGUUCCUGAACGUGAGUGCGGGACCAGGGGGAGUCCUGGGGAAAGAGUCCAGGGGUCAGCAGAGUUCGCAGCCCCAGUGCCCCCCCACCGGCCGUGCGUGGGCCCCCCCCCCCCCCCCCAGAAGACGGCCUUCUCUGUCUAGGCAGCAAUGUGUCUGCUUUUCUUCCUCUCGCUGGAAACACACUUUGACAUUUUUUAACAAAUAACACAAUUUUCCCUUUGUGUUUCCCUUAAUAAGACACAGGAAUGAGAGCAAGAAAAGGAAAGUAAAAAAACGUGUUCCUGUCAUCUCCACUCUGCACCAGGACGUCCUUCCUCCCGCGCUGUCUCCCUCCCACUGCGCCGCGAGGUAGCCCCCGCCUCCCCUGUCCUCACUCCUCUCCCCAAACCCCAGCCACCAGCGGUUCAUGAGUCUGGGGGUGGUGCUUCUGUGUUUCCGGCCGAAGGAAGGGGAGCUCCACGGUCAGUCUGCCUGUCUCACCCCAUCUUCUACACGUUGCUACUUGGCUGAGGACAGCUUCCAGACCAGACCGGCCAGGGCCCUGCAUUUCCCCCGCUCAAAGCAAAGUACUAGGCUUAAGACACAGUCCCUGGAUCUCUUGGAAUCUGCUUGAAGUUGCAAGAUUCCUGAUGUUUGGAACAGCUGCCUAUCUCUCAACGGGGAUAAAUGUUAAGUUUCCACACUUGGGGCCAAACACCAAUCGUACAAUUUGCAGUUCGGGGGAGAUGUGGCCUACCAGCAGCUUGCGUGGAAGAGGACUGAGGAGGUUUUGUUAAUAACGUACGCGGUCUGAGUCAACGGCGGCCACUGAAAAGGCUCACGCCAAAUCAGGCCGCGUCAACGGGUAUUUUAUGGCCACAGGAAGGAGUGGAGGCCCUGAAGCCACGGUCACUGCAAAGCUGCAACAGGUCUGGAGAGAGAGAGAGACUGGAGUAGGUUCAGAAACAAAGUGAAUAGGACAGAGCAGGCAGCUCUUCGAGGUAGAAUUUGACAUCACGAAGGGCCAAGCCCCAAGCAGUCAAUGGACCAGAUGUGGCUGGCUAGGGAAAUGAAUUUGGACCCGAUAUAAACUUAACACUUGGACCAGAUGAGCUUGAAGGUCACUUCCACCUUUAAGAGUCAGUAGUUUGGGGUGUCUCUUCUAAAGCCCGAUUACGUCCUUUCCACAACCGCUCAGAACACAAUAUUUCUGACGAAAGGGACAAUAUGGCUGGCUCUUCAUAAAGAGCUUUUGGACAGUGGCUUUGUGGCAUCUUCUGUCAUCAGAAAGGUGAAAUGAUAGCGUUUGAGUUUAAAAUGAAAAACCAUGUGGCACGGUCAGGAGAAUCUGUCAGGGGAAAGCUGCCUGUCUACCUACCCACCAUGUCACUGAGCUGGCCCAGGCCAUUGUGAAAUGAUAAUGGGGCAGGGGCGGGAUUCAUUGAGCGAGGUAAAAUAAAGCAUAAAAGAGAAAACCCCAAAUAAACAAGGUAUAUCUUUAAUGCUUUGGACACUUAGCUACCUCAGCGUCUACACCUGGACACAUUCUGCAAAACAUGUGAUGAGGAGCUGUUCUACAGCCCACCCCAUUGUCCACAGUCAGUGUGGUUGCACAGACUUCAGACGGCAAAGGCCUCUCAGACCAUUGCAUAUGGCGCCUUCGUCGCAGAGAGGAAGUACAGUCGCACAGGGAGGUGAACGUGGCCCAGCUGAGCUGGGAAAUGGAAGUGAGGUCCCUGGAUUCCUGACCCCCAUGUGCCUUCACCUUUCCUCGCUCCCCCCACACAGCGAGCAUGGCACUCAUCCAUCAGUGAGGUAAAUGGCAUCUGUUAAUCACAUGUAUGUGCCAGGCUUUGCGCUACAGCUUGUAAUGUGAUUAUGACACACAGUCUCCAUUGGGAAGGUACCCAGGAGCCCAAGAGCUGGGGAAACACGUUCCUACUGAACGUUUGUGAGCGAUCUGUACCCAUCACGCAGCCUGCCUUCCAGAGAUGCAAAGACCAUUUGAGGGAUUUGGGUCCCGGGUCAGAUGGGACCCCACACACUUUCAGGAUAUUCUCUAAAAGGAAUAUUCUUACCACUAGUUAAACAUAUGUCAUGCACUCAAGACCUUUAGCGAAAGCAAAGUUCGGUCGGGCGUUUAAAACUAUUCCCUAUGACUGUAUUUGCCCGACUCCAUUUUUUUUUUUCCCUUGCCUGACUUCUAUUUUAUACAUUAUCCUAAGGAUACUUGUAAUCCAUAUUAUUUUCCCACAGUCUGCCGGGGGUGGCAGAGAGGACAAAGGACAGGUGUCGGGGGCAUGCCCCUAGCCGCCUGGGCAACAUCAGAGAAAUCUCCCAGCCCUACUAAGCCGCAAAGAUUCGUCAGAAACAGUGGCUAAAACUGUGUUCUGCCUACCCCACAGGUUUGUUGUAAAGACCAAGCAAAAUCGUGUAGGGUGAAAGUAUCCUGGAAAGUCUAAAGCAGCAUUCAGAUGUAAAGUAUUAAACUCUCUGCCCUUUUCUCUUGUUUCCCUGAAGUCACAUUCAGUGUUUGGCUUGGGUCUGCUGGCAGAAAGCACUUACAAUGGCGAAUGGGGUCAAGGCUUCCGAGCACAUCCGAACAAGAGCUGCCAACACUAUUUCUUGAAAAAUAAGGAAGUGGUCCCGUCCUUGGAGAAGGGAAUAGAGAGCGCUUGCAAUGUGGCAUCUCGCCUGCUCCCAGUUCACUGUGCCAGAGCGCCUGGCAAGUCCAAUCUAGUUCCCUUCGGCCCAGGAAUUGAGGGGGGCCCCCAGAGAAUCCCGCGGAACUGACCGUGCGUGGGGGGACUUACUCUGUGAUAUUUUCCUCACCUGUGAUAUUGGGAUAACCAUUGUCUCCCCCCACCCCCCAUAGGGGCUGCUGUAAAGAUUCAACGAGUUAACUGUGCGACCAAACCCGGCACGAAAUAAAAUGUUCGAAAAAUGUUA